rnacentral:rRNA from 1 species
UACGGAGGAUCCGAGCGUUAUCCAGAUUUAUUGGGUUUAAAGGGUGCGCAGGCGGGAGAUUAAGUCGGCGGUGAAAUUUUGCAGCUCAACUGUAAAAGUGCCUUCGAAACUGGUUUCCUUGAGUGUAGAUGAAGUAGGCGGAAUUUGUGGUGUAGCGGUGAAAUGCAUAGAUAUCACGAGGAACUCCGAUUGCGCAGGCAGCUUACUAAACUACUACUGACGCUCAGGCACGAAGGCGUGGGGAUCAAACAGGAUUAGAUACCCCGGUA